CCUACGGGUGGCAGCAGUCGAGGAUCUUCGGCAAUGGGCGAAAGCCUGACCGAGCGACGCCGCGUGUGCGACGAAGGCCUUCGGGUUGUAAAGCACGAAAGCGGGGAGGAAGGGCAACUUGACCGAUCCGCAGUAAGCACGGGCUAAGUUCGUGCCAGCAGCCGCGGUAAGACGAACCGUGCGAACGUUGUUCGGAAUCACUGGGCUUAAAGGGCGCGUAGGCGGCGACACACGUCCGGGGUGAAAGGCACCAGCCCAACUGGUGCAGUGCUUCG
rnacentral:rRNA from 1 species